UUCUGCAGCCCUAGUAAGCAGAGGAGAAGCACGUGGUAUUUAGAUUUUUAACCAUUUUGAGCUUGGGUUGUGCCUGCUGAAGAGCAUGGAAAAAUGCCUAAAACUUCAAAUGCUUUGACCGCUGAAGCAAAUCUGACUGUGCAGGAUGCUGUUGUGGAUGAGGAAUCCGAAAAUAAUUGCUGCACAUUGAAGCGAAAAAAGAAGGCAUCGCAAGUUUGGACAUAUUUUGAUAAAGCCCAAAACAAAAUGAUUGCCAAAUGUCGCCUUUGCGGAAAGUCAUAGAAGAAGUGGCAAUACAUCAAAUUUGAUUGAACAUCUGAAACGUGCUCAUCCACUGAAAUCAAAUAAGACACCAAAUUUAAAUACGUUGGAUAAAUAUGUAAAAAGCAAAGAUGUAUAUGAACUUUCAUCAUCCAAAAAAAUAAUGAUUGACAGAGCACUAGCUCGAAUGAUAUCUAGAGAUGUGCAGCCCUACAGCAUCGUGGAAGAUGAAGGACUUACAAUUAGAUAUUUAAUACAUGUGUUGGAUCCACGUUAUACAGUGCUUAUCAUAUGUAUAA